rnacentral:rRNA from 1 species
AACGAACGCUGGCGGCAGGCUUAACACAUGCAAGUCGAGCGCCCCGCAAGGGGAGCGGCAGACGGGUGAGUAACGCGUGGGAAUCUACCCAUCUCUGCGGAACAACUCCGGGAAACUGGAGCUAAAACCGCAUACGCCCUUCGGGGGAAAGAUUUAUCGGGGAUGGAUGAGCCCGCGUUGGAUUAGCUAGUUGGUGGGGUAAAGGCCUACCAAGGCGACGAUCCAUAGCUGGUCUGAGAGGAUGAUCAGCCACAUUGGGACUGAGACACGGCCCAAACUCCUACGGGAGGCAGCAGUGGGGAAUAUUGGACAAUGGGCGCAAGCCUGAUCCAGCCAUGCCGCGUGAGUGAUGAAGGCCUUAGGGUUGUAAAGCUCUUUCACCGAUGAAGAUAAUGACGGUAGUCGGAGAAGAAGCCCCGGCUAACUUCGUGCCAGCAGCCGCGGUAA